CUUCUCCGGACUGGGGACUGGGAGCCGCGACCGAUGAUUUAAACCCCCGGUGACGGGUCGGGUGGGGCCCUGAGCGAUUGACAGCAGCUCCAACCAAAGAUAAUAGAGGAGUAACUAUCUUUGGUUCCAACCAGCCAACCUUGAACGAAGCAAACCGAAAGCAGUCACGGGUCAAUGAGAAUGGGCGGUGUCGGCAUGGAGGAGAUGACGGGGUGGGCAGUGGAGCAAGAUCACAGAUCUUUUUUUGAAUCACAUUUCAUUGUAAAUGUAGAAUUACAAGUCUGUAGAAGGGACGCGACCCGAAACGUCACCUAUCCAUGUUCUCCAGAGUUGCUGCCUGACCCGUUGAGAUACUCCAGCACUUUUUUUGGUAAACCAUCUCCUGCAGUUCCUUGUUCCAGAAUCACAAAAUGCAGAUUGAGCUAUUUGAGUCAUUUAUUUAUUUGAGUCAUGCCAAAGUACUAUGCCUGGAUGUAAUGAGAGGAAGUAUUGGAUAUUAUUAUGACUUUUUACAACUAUCCUUUGUGCUGAAGUUGGUUUAGGUGAGGAUUUGUGCAACAUGGUUUAAGAACCUGGCAGAUGACGGAAGAAGCUGUUCUUGAAUCUGGAUGAAACGGUUCUCGAGAUUCUGUACUUCUUUCCGGAUUCUAACAGAGAUUUCCAAUCUUCACUUAUUUAUGGGAUGAUGAGUCCUGAGGCAUCUGUUCUCCAGUCAGCUGUGGGAUGAAGGAUCCCACGAACCAAUGAAGAUGUCAAUGGAGAUCUUUUGGCAACGAUUCAACUGGGAAUUUGGAAAACCUGGACCAGGCAACUCCAUCUUAAAAUUACUAUCUUAAAAUACAAUGGAUAAUUCAUCGACAAGUGCUUGGCCUUACGGAGUAAUCUUGAUGGAGUAAAGAAUCCCCUGGAACAACAGCUGAUAUAUCAUGCCUAGUCCUGUACCAUUACAGUGGUGCAGAUGAUAGGAGUGUAUCAGGGAUUAUGGGUCUCACU